CCAGCCCGAAUGGGAAAUUAUAAUUAAUUAAGGUAAUUGGACAUUAGCGACCGAUCUUGCCGGUACUAAUGGCGCGCCCUACUCUGCUCUUAAUUGAGUUAGCAGCCGCUUUUGAGGAGGCCCCGUAUCGCUGAUAGCCGGCCCUAAUCGUAUUCCUACGGCAGACUCGAUAGAACAGCUAAUAGCAUCGUCGUCGACGAGCCAUAGUCUUCCAAGUCGUUGCGUGAGGCUUGAUGGAGUCGUUGUUAGAAGGUUUGCAGAAUGGAGCAAAGUCACACACCGUCGUACGAAGCUUCGACUCAGCCCCGAGACAAUGCAAGACAUAUUGAUAAGGAAAUCUCCACACAUUGGCAAGGUCGACGGCGAAUCCGAUAACAGAUAAAAGGAAGUCGACUUUGCCUGACCAGGUCUCUCUGCCAUCAACGCCGACGUCAAACUUGGCAGGAUUCUUCACCACCCUCGACGACAUGUCUCGCUUUCCUGCAAGAAAUCGACCGAUUAAUCUACAAAUUUUCAGUAUCGACGCCAUCGUACAUAAUAUAAACACUGUCUGCAUAUUAUCCAGGGGAAAAAUGAAAUCCGCCUCCGUGUACAUUACAUAACCGAUCACGGUGGACGGCGAUUUAAAUUGCGGAGUCAGAGAGAGAGUACCUACACUCCAGGGAUCUCCGAUAUGAAAUGCGGCAACAGAUCGAGAUCCAUCGAGCGGACAGGGGAAUCCCGAUCGAGUUGACAAGCAUAAUGGGUCCUCGUUCUCGCGAUCGUUUAUGGGUGGUCUGGGAGAACCUAUCGCCUUACGGGGCGUCCCCGCGAGGACGGACUGUGAAAUGAAUCGCACGGUCGGGAUGACGGACCAUCGGAAAAUCGGCAUGCGAGAUUUGAAAAGUGAACCGCG